AGUCCAAACAAAAAGCUAAGCUAGGGCC
rnacentral:piRNA from 1 species